rnacentral:rRNA from 1 species
AUUGAACGCUGGCGGCAGGCUUAACACAUGCAAGUCGAGCGGAGCGAGGGUGCUUGCACCUUAGCUUAGCGGCGGACGGGUGAGUAAUGCUUAGGAAUCUGCCUAUUAGUGGGGGACAACAUUCCGAAAGGAAUGCUAAUACCGCAUACGCCCUACGGGGGAAAGCAGGGGAUCUUCGGACCUUGCGCUAAUUGAUGAGCCUAAGUCGGAUUAGCUAGUUGGUGGGGUAAAGGCCUACCAAGGCGACGAUCUGUAGCGGGUCUGAGAGGAUGAUCCGCCACACUGGGACUGAGACACGGCCCAGACUCCUACGGGAGGCAGCAGUGGGGAAUAUUGGACAAUGGGCGGAAGCCUGAUCCAGCCAUGCCGCGUGUGUGAAGAAGGCCUUUUGGUUGUAAAGCACUUUGAGCGAGGAGGAGGCUCUUAAGGUUAAUACCCUUGAUGAGUGGACGUUACUCGCAGAAUAAGCACCGGCUAACUCUGUGCCAGCAGCCGCGGUAACAC